UAGCUCAGUGGCAUAAGCACCUGCCUUGCAAGCAGGCAGUCCUGAGUUCGAUUCCCGG
rnacentral:tRNA from 1 species